UUUCCGUAGGUGAACCUGCGGAAGGAUCAUUAUUGUAUAACCGAGAUGCGAGGGCUGUCGCUGACCCAAAAGGUCGUGCACGCCCGAGUGCCCUCACACACAUCCAUCUCACCCCUAUGUGCACCACCGCGUGGGUCCCCCUUUGGCUUGUUCGGAGGGGGGCUUACGUUUUCACACAAACUUUGUAUGCAGUGUAGAAUGUAUUUUUUGUUUUUGCGAUCACGCAAUCAAUACAACUUUCAACAACGGAUCUCUUGGCUCUC
rnacentral:misc_RNA from 1 species